AGGUGAAAGUGAGAAUUUAUCCUUCUAUUGUAUUGGUCCAUUGGUCACCAGUAAGAAAAUAAAUCAUCCUUACUGCCUUAAAGCACUAAACCCCUGACGAAGUCAUAGUGACGAAAUGCGUAGGGUUCACCAAUCGAAUUCAUUUGUGUCGCUGUGUUGAAAACCUCCACCUAGAGCUCACACAUUUGUUAAGGUGAGGGGAGAUUUAUGCCAUCUUCUGUACCUUGACAUUUAUGAGAAUCGGACUGGUGUUGCAAUAUUUUGUGUCAUUUUUUAAAACUAAAUGCUAAACAAAUAAAAUGUCAUUGUUUGACCAUUAA